CUGAUGAGAGAGAUAGGCCUGACUGCUGGGGAACUCACCUGGAGAUGACCAGCAGGGGGUGCUGCAGCGCUCUACAAAUGCUGGGGGCAUUGUUCUGGCUUUAGAAGAAGAAUCAUAAUCAGCUGGUGGUAGAAAAUAAGCAUUCAAAGGUGAUGCAAUGCAUUAAAUUAUCAUAAACCUGACCAUAACAGACACCUGUACCCAUCACACAAAUUCAAUACAUCUGGCAACAUGUACAGAAGAAACAGUACUGAACUAGCAGAGAUGCUGAAAGUGACGAUCAAGUUUCUUUGGCAGUUAUUCAAGGAAUACAGACCACUUGUCAAUACUAGUACUAUCCUACCAUUACUACAAUACUUGAUAAAAUAAAUCAC